rnacentral:rRNA from 1 species
UAGUGAGUUUGAUCCUGGCUCAGGACGAACGCUGGCGCGUGCCUAAGUACGAUGCAAGUCGAGCGCAGGAAGCUCACGGAACUCUUCGGAGGGAAGUGAAGGGAAUGAGCGGCGGACGGGUGAGUAACACGUAAGGAACCUGCCCCAAGGAUUGGGAUAACUCCGAGAAAUCGGAGCUAAUACCGAAUAGUUCUUCAGACCGCAUGGUCUGAUGAUGAAAGGCGCUUCGGCGCUACCUUGGGAUGGCCUUGCGGUGCAUUAGCUAGGUUGGUGGGGUAAUGGCCCACCAAGGCGACGAUGCAUACGCCG